AAAAGUGCAAUGACAGCACUUUACAGUUGGGGACAAUUGUUGAAUGAGUGUGAAUUUUUCUGCGAUUUGCGAUAUGUUCGAGUCGAAACGAUGCAUUACUAAUGUAGUUUUAUUAUUUUAUUUUGACUGCAUUAUUUGUGCCAUUUGUAUCGCAUUGCGCGAUUACGAAAUUAUCCCGGGGGAAAAACAGGCGAGAAAUAUAUAAAUGCUUGCCGCAUGGAAAUCAGCAGAAAUUCGGGGAUUUUAUUGUCUGCUUAAUUUUUAUCCUGUUUACAUUAUUUUAACACAUCUCUCAUCACAAACUACGACAUAUUAUGUGACGUGACGUGACUAUUAAUUAAGAUUCGUAUUAUUAACUCUAGCAUUAAUGAAUAUACAUUAAACCGGUUUUUAGUACGUUACAAUAUCUGGCUGGUGUGUGCUAUCUCUCCACACGGAUUUCCAGCGAUGACACGACGUAUCUACGAAAGGAGAAACCCUUUGACCUUCCAUUUUUGUAGGAUUUUAUCCUCCUCAACUUCCUUUAAAAAAUCUUUUCACGUAUAAUUAAAAAUUAUAUCUAAUGUAUUUACAUUCAUAUGCAUUGGUGUUAUAUAUUUACUUGUACUUGUAGAGAAAGAGAGAGAGAGAGAGAGAAGAAAAAUCUUUUCUCCUUUCUUCUAGAAGAAAGAGAUUCUACAUUUUAUUUUGCAUUUUAUUUUUUUUUAUUCCACAGUAAUGGCCUAAAUGUGUGAGUAUUUUCUUGUGAUUAUCACGCAACAUGAAUUAUAUUUCUCGGUAAUAACAAUUCGUCAAGCUCUCCGGCUUUCCGAUAAAUAUAUCAUCAUAUUUUUACUCGUAACGCGACACGGUUCUCCCUGAUAAAUCAUGAUACUGUCGUUAUGACUCGAGUCAUUCUUCUAUAUCGCUCGUUAGCUGGUUCUAUCUACACCCUAUCUGGGUUAUCUAUAAACACUUUGCUGAGUCUUUGAAAGUAAAUACAUUGAGACAAAGAAAAAUGCACAUCAUGCUUGCGCAAGAAAUCAUUCAUUGUUGUAAAAGUGAAAAACACCUGGAUAGAUAUUAAUAACGCAGUCGAGGAAAGAAAGUGAUAUCUCCACAACAUCAUAAUCAUGACUGUGUUUUAUCUAAUAUUGUCUUAUCUGUCUAAUAACAAACGUCUUAUCUGAUUUCUCAGCACUUGAGAAUUUGAACAUUAAUCAACUAGGUCAGUUGAGGACGAAACGUCUCAGAUAUAUCGAUUCUGAAAUAAAGACUGAAAACGAAAGAUGAUAAAGUGAAUAAAAAAAGAAAAAAGAUUCAUUUAGCGGAAAGUAUAUUAGAAUGUUAUAUUAGGAAUGUAUAAAAAAUAUAUUAUGUUUUAUAUUAGAAAAUAUUGUUAAGUUGUAGAAAUUUCUGAUACUAUUUGAACACAGAACUUGAUCUUUUAGGGUGGAACAAAUUAAAUAUAUCACGCGCAAACGUUAUAAUACGAGUAUAUAACACCACUAAAUAUAAAUGUACAUUUGAUAUAAUAUUUUAUUGCAUGUAAAAAUCUUUACAUGAAACAUGUCAAAACACUCAAGUUUAUGCAAUUUUCUCUCUUAUAACAUCUAAUUAUCAUGGCGCAUAAGACUAUUACAUCCGUCGAAGCGAAUGAGUCGAUAAUUAGAGCACUCGCAAAGCGAUUCCUAUAAAUAACCGAGUGAGAAAAGACUCGCUGCAGACACAAGUUUGUUGAAUAUUUUUUCGGUGCUUAGGCGCAAGUUUGGACGAGGCUGUCCGGCGCUAAUUAACAAACUCCAAAGUGCCGGAUCAGAACUGGUGAAUCCGUAAACAGCCGGCCGAUCAGAGAUGGCGGCGCGCGAUCCGGAAGUGGGCCAGCAGAGUCUUCCGAUGCCAAAAAGAGCCAGCUAUCCAGCCACGCGUCCAAUUACCUCCGCUCGCGCCGUGGAGAGAAAGGGAAAGUCAAUCAGGUACCCCAUAAGUCAACUGGCACAUCGACCCGUGACCUCAUAACGGCCUUCCGAGGAACUUUUUUUUCGCGAGCCACAUGUGAAAACAGGCCUGCGCACCCCCAUAGACGUCGCGGGCCCUCCAACGGUCGUCCAGGGUACGUUGCGGUCGUGGGAAAGACGUCCGCAACACGGAAUACUUUAGUCCGGUCCGCUUCGUGACGUAGGCGGUUCGUGAUCGUGAAGCCUGCUUCAUCGGAAAGUUGAAUUGCGGAUAAAUGCGCGUGAGUUACGCGAUUAAGUGUCGGUCCGAUUAAAAGCCGACGUGGCGAAAUCACGGGGGUAGACGUGGGAGACAUGCGAGGGAUUAGCCGGUCAAUAGUUACUCGUUCGGGGAGCAUACAUGUGCGUCGCAUCCCUAAGAUGCUUAAGACGUUCACAAGGGCGUAGACAUGCUCUUUGAAACGGAUCCCUUUGCGAUAAAGUCCGCGACCGAAAUAAAUGUUUGCACGAAAAUAAACUUGCCUCUCCUGCAGUGGGUUGAAGUAUGAUUCUGGAUACAAUACUCGUGUACGAUCUACUAGAUAGAAGCUAUAUUAUAAUUAACUCUCAUACUAUGUAAAUCAUUCAAAAGCGUUUUAUAAAAACAUGAUGGUUACAAAA